rnacentral:ncRNA from 1 species
CGGAUAGAGGUGCGGGACUGAAUAGUAGCGCUCAUAAAACGGCUUUCGGAGGUCGGGCGUGAAAGGCAUACCGCCGAAGAAUGCACAUUCCGUUGUGUGCAUAUCUGGUUAUGCGCCGAACAGGUGUAUAAUUGUCAUCGACUUUUUAAGUGAUGGAGAGCUAUCGUA